UCGGCAUUUGGCAAGUAUGAUCAUCAUGUCAUUCCCUGUGGCUUUUCCCAUCCUGUAAAUACAUGUAGGACAGGUGGAGGACUUCUUAGGACGUGGCCCAAUGGAGAUUUUGUCAGCUCAUGUAACGGGCAAACAUAGAAGAAUUUCUCAUGAGCCGUAGGGGCCGUUAUACUGGUAGAGUAUUCUUCACAAUACAGAGGAGGAUCACGGUGGUUGCCGACAAUUGGAAAAACAAUAUGAAUAGCAUCAUAAAAGUAAUCAAAGCAAAUACCACAACGAACGAAAGGGGUGUGCCAUCUCUGGCUGGCCUCGGCCCAUGUCAUGUCAGUGAGUACAUUUGCUUGGAAGCCAUCCGUAAAUGCAUGAAACCACGUAGUGUGUGUACAUGCUCUGACCUUUCUAAAAUAUUAGUUACUUUUUUCUGGUGCUUUUCCUCUUGGUCUUCUGCGUUCCAAAAUCAAAGCUGACAAUGAUUGUUAGCUAACUUUGUGCAUAUGGCAAUUUUCCACUAGCAGAAGAUGCGGACAAAGUCCAUAUCAAAAUCAACUUAACCACCUCAUUAUCUUAUCCGACUGGCAGGAAUUUGCACCAAGAUAAAUGAGUACUCCCCCUGCUCACACUAAAAGAUCCAUCCCCACCAGUAUUGAAGGUAGUUCAGCUGUCUAAAUUCUUCCAUAUUUUGAUCAAUUUAUAGCACAUCUAACGAUCUUCCAAUAAAUCACUUUUUCUGCUUAACUAUUUGACAAUAAUUUUGCUGCACAUCUUCUUCUUUUUUGCAAUGCCAAAAGCCAAAAGCCAAAAGCAAUUCUGAGAUCAAAUCGUGGUGGUCGUGUUCCAAACUGAUACAACUAGGCGAUUCUAGAUGACUCUCGAGCAAUGUCAAACACGG
rnacentral:lncRNA from 1 species